rnacentral:rRNA from 1 species
UACGUAGGUGGCAAGCGUUGUCCGGAUUUAUUGGGCUUAAAGGGUGCGUAGGCGGUGUCCUAAGUCAGUUGUGAAAUACGGCAGCUUAACUGUCGAGGUGCAAUUGAUACUGGGACACUUGAGUACUGAUGAGGUAAGCGGAAUGGACGGUGUAGCGGUGAAAUGCUUAGAUAUCGUCCAGAACACCGAUAGCGAAGGCAGCUUACUAAGGAGUAACUGACGCUGAGGCACGAAAGUGUGGGGAUCAAACAGG